rnacentral:lncRNA from 1 species
AAGUUCAGAACUAGUAAAGCAAGAACUCACAACUAACUUGUCACUUAACUUUCAGAGAGUGCCACUUGGUCCUUCUUCUCAUGCCGGGGCCUCGCCGCCGGUAAGCGAUUUCCAGAUUCCGGAAGGCCCGUCGACCUCUAAAAUUCGUGGAACUCGAUCCUUACCGCCGCCCAAUCAUCCCAAAUCUUUCGCCGAGUCUCUCUCUCUCUCUCAUCAACCGUCGUCGAUCGCUCCUCUUCAACAACCUC